CAGGUGGGGAACAAGGGUCCCUGCAAAGGCAAGGAUUUCAAGUGACCAGGAAUGUGAAGGGGCCACUGGACAUGGAGAUAGAAGUUCGGGUUUGUGAAAGAAGCGAAGGGGAGGAAACCGUGAUAAGCUGCAGGAAAGGGAAGUAUACCCACGAUUCAGAAACCACGCAGUCCUUUGCACUCUUUUCUUCCUGGGACCGCCAAGAUACAUUUGACAACACUGACUUUUCUAACUAGCGGCUGGGAACAAAGGGGUGUUAGCAGUCCUGAUACUCAACUCAGGGGGCAAAGAGCCCCCAGCCCUUAAGAUGAUCUGACUUAUAGCAGAGAGCUUCCAGGGUAGGUGCUGGACUCUGGGGAAAGGGGAAAGGGCAGGAAAGGACAAUGCCGUCCUCAAUUCCGGGAGAGGAGGCCCGGCGGGGCCAACCCCAGGUUAGCGGGAUGGCCAGGUUUGAGCCUUUUGGGGCCCCCCCUUUCCCUCUGGUGAGUCCUUUCUUGCAUCAGCUUGGCUCCCCGCGCCCAGGAGGCCUUGCCCGACAUUUGGAUUACUGCCACGUCCCCUGUGCCUCUCAGAAUGUAUUUGCGGGGGCAGGGAUGGAGGGAAAACGGACCAGUUGAGCAACUCACCCAAUUGUUCGGUUUUGUUCUGGGCAUCUUUUUCAGGGGUGGGCGGCUCAGCUAAGGGGGUGACAGGAGGCUUCCCUGUGUAGGAGGAGGGGAGAGUCAGCUUAAGAGAGUGAAGCAUCAGGAAAGGGAGUACCUAGGGCAGAGGAAGUGGGACAAGCAGCCAGGAGAAGGAGAGAUGGAUGGAUGAGCCAACAGGCUGGAGAGGACAAAAAGCUGCCAAAAAGAAAUAGAGGAUGAAGGAGAAAUGGCAGGGUUAGAGCUAGGAGGGCCUAAGAGAUGCUGUCUGUGAGCCCAGCCCCCGUCAUUUCAAGACGAGGAAACAAGUCUGGCCAUAGGCAGCAGAGAUGGGGCCAACUCGGCUCCCCAUCUUGACUGGUCCUGGAAGCAGGGAGCCCAGAAACAUAAAGGGAGGGGCACUGGAGAAGGAAGGUGAGGCCGAAUGGAAGCAGGUGCGGCGAACAGGAGGCGGCAGGUCUAGCUGGGAGAGAUUACCACUCAAGUAAGAAUUGACAGAUGUGUAGGAAUUUAUUUUCGAUGGCAGCCUAAUUAAAGUGUUAAAGUUCCUUAACUCCAUUCAGCCCUGCGCCAGGAUCAUUAGCUAUUGAUCCGGGCCCCUCCGGCACUUAACUCCAGCCAGCAUAUUGGCAAUUCAAUUAGCACCAGUCAAUGCUGCCUCUUCCUGGUUCCUGCUGCCCGCACCCUCACCCUCGCCCGCCGCCGCCGCUGGCCCCUACAAAACCCGGAUGCCCGUGCCCACCUCUGACAGCCCCUUCCAGGCUCUUCUCCUGCACCCUCUGGAUCAAUGGCGCCUGGCUGGCUGUUCCCGGUCUCUGCUGGUACAACCUCAGCUGCCUAAGGGGGACCCUAAGCCCAGCCUUCGGGCUGAAGACCUCCUAGGAGACAGGAAGAGGCUGGGGAGCUCGUCAAGGGCUUCCUCUCCCUGCUGCCUUCGGGCCAGGCCCACAGCUCCCAUCUCCGAUCUCCUUCCAACACGCCCUGGCCCGGCACGAAGUGCAUCCUAUUCUGUUUUCCUACUUCCUCUCUCCUUCCUGACCAGCUCCUGCCGCCGCCCAACACCUAGCGUUGCCGGGACACUGGUCACCAUUCGGAAUCACUGGGUGAUUCCUCCUUACCUCCCUUCCCGUUUUCUGCUCUCCACCCAGCAAAGCCCCCGCCCUUCUCUGCCUCCUCCCUCGCACGAGCCUCCUACUUCCCCCCCUUCACUGGGCUGCCCCACUGCUCCCCAUGUCCGGUUUUAUCAGCCCUUCACGGCUGGCUCCUCUCCACUUGCUCUCGACUGCCCACAGACCCGGUUCUCCUCACUGGCAUGCCCUUCUCCCCAGCCCCAGCUCCCACCGCACGCCGCCGCCCAGCCCCUUCUUCCUCACCAGGAGUCCGGAGCUGCCCGUGGCUGAAGCUCAGGAUGCUCUGCAGGGCCGAGAGCCCUUCCUCGGCCGCGGGGCCGCUGUGCAGCAGCUGCAGGCGCCGCUGGGCCUGGGCGUCGCGGUGAGCCGGCGCACGCAGGUGCUGCAGCACAGCCAGGCGGGAGGGGGUCUCCCACGCACACAGCAGGCAGCGGAAGAGCCCCAGCUCGGCCCCCGCCGCGGCCCCCUCCAUCUCCAGCAGAAACUGGAAGCGUGGAAAGAGGCUGCUCAGGCCAGAAGGGACAGGGCCCUCUAGAUCUCAGGGGCCCCCUCCGCCUCCCCAACGGGAGCCUGACCAGCAGCAGCCCCUCCCUGCCCAUCCCUUCUGCCCUCUUGAGCACGCCCUUUUCCCUCCUCUGGCCACCUGGAUAUUAGUGCUUUUUCUCCCCCAUCUCCUUCUCUUCCUCCUACCAAUCCUGGCCUCCCUCCUGGUAGGUGAAUGGAAUCUGCUUCCAUCCUCUUGAACUGGUCACAAGAUGGCCUAAGCAGACAGACACCCCCCUUACCUCCCCACUCCCCACUCUAGUCCCAAACACCAGAAAAACUGAAUAAAGUGCUGGAUUCAUUU